AAUGUAUGACGCCGUUGAUUUUUUAAUCAACGUUUGACCAUUCGUCUUAUUCAAAAAAUUUAUGUAAUUAUCAUUUAUUUUAUUGUGGCUUGAUUUAUCAUCAAAUAUUCUUCAAGUAUAACAUAAAUAUUUUUAUAUUUGCAAAAAAAAUUUGAAUAAGACGAAUGAUCAAACGUUGUUAAAAAAUUAAUGGCGUCAUACAUU
rfam:Oryza glaberrima chromosome 2 Oglab02_0033_11, whole genome shotgun sequence.